rnacentral:rRNA from 1 species
UACGGAGGGGGCUAGCGUUGUUCGGAAUUACUGGGCGUAAAGCGCACGUAGGCGGCUUUGUAAGUUAGAGGUGAAAGCCCGGAGCUCAACUCCGGAAUUGCCUUUAAGACUGCAUCGCUUGAAUCAUGGAGAGGUGAGUGGAAUUCCGAGUGUAGAGGUGAAAUUCGUAGAUAUUCGGAAGAACACCAGUGGCGAAGGCGACUCACUGGACCACAACUGACGCUGAGGCGCGAAAGCUAGGGGAGCAAACAGG